CAGCCGCCACGGGAAUACGUAGGUGGCAAGCGUUGUCCGGAAUUAUUGGGCGUAAAGGGCUCGCAGGCGGUUUCUUAAGUCUGAUGUGAAAGCCCCCGGCUCAACCGGGGAGGGUCAUUGGAAACUGGGAAACUUGAGUGCAGAAGAGGAGAGUGGAAUUCCACGUGUAGCGGUGAAAUGCGUAGAGAUGUGGAGGAACACCAGUGGCGAAGGCGACUCUCUGGUCUGUAACUGACGCUGAGGAGCGAAAGCGUGGGAGCAAAUGGGAUUAGAUACCCCUGUAGUCCCUGUCUCUUAUACA
rnacentral:rRNA from 1 species